rnacentral:lncRNA from 1 species
CACGCCCCGCUCUGACUCAGUUUCGCCUGCGGAGGACAGCAGGAUCAUCCCAGCCCUCAGGAGGGCCCGGAGGUUUGAAUGGAGUGGACCCCAACCCCAAGUGCGACCCCAGCCUGGCCAAUCAGACACAGUGACUGGUCAGCAUGUGACCUGGUGUGGCCAAUGAGAACCAGCCCCCAAAGACCACUGCUGCAACUCCGGGGAAAUUGGCAAACUUUCUCCACUGGGGAGGACAGGCUGCUGGGGUGUAAGCCUGGAGCUGCAAGUCUCCGCUACCUUAGGAGGAGACCCUGAAAGGUAAUGAAGCCAACUCGGAGAAAAUAAAAAGAGACCAUUCAUGAUGACAUCAUCUGACAACUAGAUGCAGCCAUGCCUUAAGACUCUAAACUCUUCAAUUACAUGGCCCAGUAAAUUCCCUGUUUUGUUUUCCCAGCUUGAA